GGUAAACAGAUGAUCGCCCCUUUAAUAAGGGGAGGAAAGUCCGGACUCCUGCCUUUAAUUAGGCGUCGUGGUAAUGGAUAACGUCCAUCGUUCUGUAUUUACAGAAUAGGGAAAGUGCCACAGAGACAAUACUAGCCAUUACAAUGGUGAAAGGUGAAAAGUUAUACAAUGUCUAAGUUAUAUCGGGAUAUCCAAAUAACUUAAGCUAUGCAUAUUCUACACUGGCAACAGUGAUAGAUGGUAAACCCUACCUGGAGCAAGAGCAAACCUCUAUUUUAUAUUUAUAAAAUAGGGAUGAAAAGUAGCUCGCUUGACCUUAAUGGUAACAUUAAGGCUAGAUAGAUGAUCAUCGCCCUUAUCGGGUCUGUCGCCAAAUACCAUAUUCGGUAUAAAAUUCCAAAU
rnacentral:RNase_P_RNA from 1 species